rnacentral:rRNA from 1 species
GAUCCUGGCUCAGGAUGAACGCUGGCGGCGUGCUUAACACAUGCAAGUCGAACGAAGCAACUAUCUUGCUGCAAGAGAGUUGACUUAGUGGCGGACGGGUGAGUAACGCGUGGGUAACCUGCCUCAUACAGGGGGAUAACAGUUGGAAACGACUGCUAAGACCGCAUAACCCGCUAGUGUCGCAUGACACGGACGGAAAAUAUUUAUAGGUAUGAGAUGGGCCCGCGUCUGAUUAGCUAGUUGGUAAGGUAACGGCUUACCAAGGCGACGAUCAGUAGCCGACUUGAGAGAGUGAUCGGCCACAUUGGGACUGAGACACGGCCCAAACUCCUACGGGAGGCAGCAGUGGGGAAUAUUGGACAAUGGGGGAAACCCUGAUCCAGCCGACGCCGCGUGAGUGAAGAAGUAUUUCGGUAUGUAAAGCUCUAUCAGCAGGGAAGAUAAUGACAGUACCUGACUAAGAAGCCCCGGCUAACUACGUGCCAGCCGCGGC